GAAGCUUGCAGUUCUGAUUAUGACAUUUUUCACAGUGAGGAUGAAGACCAGAACUGCUGGUCCUAUUCUUGCCCUGGAGGUGACGUACAAGAUUCGAACCCCAUCGUCGUGGUCAACUCCUCUCAACAUGGCGAGCUACUAGACAAACUGGUAACAGCGGAAAAACCAUCCAUAUGGAGGCAUUGGUGAUGACUUCAAGAUGAUUAACGUUGUACCCAAAUAUCAUGGGACGUUGCAUUUUCUGGUAGAAUUGAAACUCAAGUUGUGUCCAAUUUUGGUCAGUUUCCAACACAACCUAAAAACAACUAAAUAUCAACGUCUAAUGAUGUUACAGGUUGAGUGUGUGGACGUCACCAUUGUGAUGUCUAUUAGAUGUUGGAUUUUGAAUGCCAUACUUGACGAA